CGAAAUUUAGAGUCUAUAUCCGCAAAUUUUGUGUGCAAAGUAACUCGACAAAUUUUCUGUUAUUUGAGGAUAAUUCUCGUGGUGUGUGGUAUCAUCAUAAGUUGAGAAUCAGUUGUCUUCACAAGGCAGAGAGUCUUGAAUUGAGCAAUAAUUUCGGCUAAGGCCAAAUUGCACGAACGAUGUGGUAUCCAAGUAGGCGUUGAUAGUGGUCAAGGCGAGCUUGGUGGCUCA
rnacentral:lncRNA from 1 species